rnacentral:rRNA from 1 species
GGGUUGUGAGGUUAAGCGACUAAGCGUACACGGUGGAUGCCCUGGCAGUCAGAGGCGAUGAAGGACGUGCUAAUCUGCGAUAAGCGUCGGUAAGGUGAUAUGAACCGUUAUAACCGGCGAUUUCCGAAUGGGGAAACCCAGUGUGAUUCGUCACACUAUCAUUAACUGAAUCCAUAGGUUAAUGAGGCGAACCGGGGGAACUGAAACAUCUAAGUACCCCGAGGAAAAGAAAUCAACCGAGAUUCCCCCAGUAGCGGCGAGCGAACGGGGAGCAGCCCAGAGCCUGAAUCAGUGUGUGUGUUAGUGGAAGCGUCUGGAAAGGCGCGCGAUACAGGGUGACAGCCCCGUACACAAAAAUGCACAUGCUGUGAGCUCGAUGAGUAGGGCGGGACACGUGGUAUCCUGUCUGAAUAUGGGGGGACCAUCCUCCAAGGCUAAAUACUCCUGACUGACCGAUAGUGAACCAGUACCGUGAGGGAAAGGCGAAAAGAACCCCGGCGAGGGGAGUGAAAAAGAACCUGAAACCGUGUACGUACAAGCAGUGGGAGCACGCUUAGGCGUGUGACUGCGUACCUUUUGUAUAAUGGGUCAGCGACUUAUAUUCUGUAGCAAGGUUAACCGAAUAGGGGAGCCGAAGGGAAACCGAGUCUUAACUGGGCGUUAAGUUGCAGGGUAUAGACCCGAAACCCGGUGAUCUAGCCAUGGGCAGGUUGAAGGUUGGGUAACACUAACUGGAGGACCGAACCGACUAAUGUUGAAAAAUUAGCGGAUGACUUGUGGCUGGGGGUGAAAGGCCAAUCAAACCGGGAGAUAGCUGGUUCUCCCCGAAAGCUAUUUAGGUAGCGCCUCGUGAAUUCAUCUCCGGGGGUAGAGCACUGUUUCGGCAAGGGGGUCAUCCCGACUUACCAACCCGAUGCAAACUGCGAAUACCGGAGAAUGUUAUCACGGGAGACACACGGCGGGUGCUAACGUCCGUCGUGAAGAGGGAAACAACCCAGACCGCCAGCUAAGGUCCCAAAGUCAUGGUUAAGUGGGAAACGAUGUGGGAAGGCCCAGACAGCCAGGAUGUUGGCUUAGAAGCAGCCAUCAUUUAAAGAAAGCGUAAUAGCUCACUGGUCGAGUCGGCCUGCGCGGAAGAUGUAACGGGGCUAAACCAUGCACCGAAGCUGCGGCAGCGACGCUUAUGCGUUGUUGGGUAGGGGAGCGUUCUGUAAGCCUGCGAAGGUGUGCUGUGAGGCAUGCUGGAGGUAUCAGAAGUGCGAAUGCUGACAUAAGUAACGAUAAAGCGGGUGAAAAGCCCGCUCGCCGGAAGACCAAGGGUUCCUGUCCAACGUUAAUCGGGGCAGGGUGAGUCGACCCCUAAGGCGAGGCCGAAAGGCGUAGUCGAUGGGAAACAGGUUAAUAUUCCUGUACUUGGUGUUACUGCGAAGGGGGGACGGAGAAGGCUAUGUUGGCCGGGCGACGGUUGUCCCGGUUUAAGCGUGUAGGCUGGUUUUCCAGGCAAAUCCGGAAAAUCAAGGCUGAGGCGUGAUGACGAGGCACUACGGUGCUGAAGCAACAAAUGCCCUGCUUCCAGGAAAAGCCUCUAAGCAUCAGGUAACAUCAAAUCGUACCCCAAACCGACACAGGUGGUCAGGUAGAGAAUACCAAGGCGCUUGAGAGAACUCGGGUGAAGGAACUAGGCAAAAUGGUGCCGUAACUUCGGGAGAAGGCACGCUGAUAUGUAGGUGAAGCGACUUGCUCGUGGAGCUGAAAUCAGUCGAAGAUACCAGCUGGCUGCAACUGUUUAUUAAAAACACAGCACUGUGCAAACACGAAAGUGGACGUAUACGGUGUGACGCCUGCCCGGUGCCGGAAGGUUAAUUGAUGGGGUCAGCGCAAGCGAAGCUCUUGAUCGAAGCCCCGGUAAACGGCGGCCGUAACUAUAACGGUCCUAAGGUAGCGAAAUUCCUUGUCGGGUAAGUUCCGACCUGCACGAAUGGCGUAAUGAUGGCCAGGCUGUCUCCACCCGAGACUCAGUGAAAUUGAACUCGCUGUGAAGAUGCAGUGUACCCGCGGCAAGACGGAAAGACCCCGUGAACCUUUACUAUAGCUUGACACUGAACAUUGAGCCUUGAUGUGUAGGAUAGGUGGGAGGCUUUGAAGUGUGGACGCCAGUCUGCAUGGAGCCGACCUUGAAAUACCACCCUUUAAUGUUUGAUGUUCUAACGUUGACCCGUAAUCCGGGUUGCGGACAGUGUCUGGUGGGUAGUUUGACUGGGGCGGUCUCCUCCUAAAGAGUAACGGAGGAGCACGAAGGUUGGCUAAUCCUGGUCGGACAUCAGGAGGUUAGUGCAAUGGCAUAAGCCAGCUUGACUGCGAGCGUGACGGCGCGAGCAGGUGCGAAAGCAGGUCAUAGUGAUCCGGUGGUUCUGAAUGGAAGGGCCAUCGCUCAACGGAUAAAAGGUACUCCGGGGAUAACAGGCUGAUACCGCCCAAGAGUUCAUAUCGACGGCGGUGUUUGGCACCUCGAUGUCGGCUCAUCACAUCCUGGGGCUGAAGUAGGUCCCAAGGGUAUGGCUGUUCGCCAUUUAAAGUGGUACGCGAGCUGGGUUUAGAACGUCGUGAGACAGUUCGGUCCCUAUCUGCCGUGGGCGCUGGAGAACUGAGGGGGGCUGCUCCUAGUACGAGAGGACCGGAGUGGACGCAUCACUGGUGUUCGGGUUGUCAUGCCAAUGGCACUGCCCGGUAGCUAAAUGCGGAAGAGAUAAGUGCUGAAAGCAUCUAAGCACGAAACUUGCCCCGAGAUGAGUUCUCCCUGACUCCUUGAGAGUCCUGAAGGAACGUUGAAGACGACGACGUUGAUAGGCCGGGUGUGUAAGCGCAGCGAUGCGUUGAGCUAACCGGUACUAAUGAACCGUGAGGCUUAACCUUACAACGCCGAAGCUGUU